rnacentral:rRNA from 1 species
GGAAUAUUGCACAAUGGGCGAAAGCCUGAUGCAGCGACGCCGCGUGAGUGAAGAAGUAUUUCGGUAUGUAAAGCUCUAUCAGCAGGGAAGAAAAUGACGGUACCUGACUAAGAAGCACCGGCUAAAUACGUGCCAGCAGCCGCGGUAAUACGUAUGGUGCAAGCGUUAUCCGGAUUUACUGGGUGUAAAGGGAGCGUAGACGGCGAGGCAAGUCUGAAGUGAAAGCUCGGGGCUCAACCCCGGAACUGCUUUGGAAACUGUUUUGCUAGAGUGCAGGAGAGGCAAGUGGAAUUCCUAGUGUAGCGGUGAAAUGCGUAGAUAUUAGGAGGAACACCAGUGGCGAAGGCGGCUUGCUGGACUGUAACUGACGUUGAGGCUCGAAAGCGUGGGGAGCAAACA